GACGAACGCUGGCGGCGUGCCUAAUACAUGCAAGUUGAGCGCUGAAGGUUGGUACUUGUACCAACUGGAUGAGCAGCGAACGGGUGAGUAACGCGUGGGGAAUCUGCCUUUGAGCGGGGGACAACAUUUGGAAACGAAUGCUAAUACCGCAUAAAAACUUUAAACACAAGUUUUAAGUUUGAAAGAUGCAAUUGCAUCACUCAAAGAUGAUCCCGCGUUGUAUUAGCUAGUUGGUGAGGUAAAGGCUCACCAAGGCGAUGAUACAUAGCCGACCUGAGAGGGUGGUCGGCCACAUUGGGACUGAGACACGGCCCAAACUCCUACGGGAGGCAGCCGUAGGGAAUCUUCGGCAAUGGACGAAAGUCUGACCGAGCAACGCCGCGUGAGUGAAGAAGGUUUUCGGAUCGUAAAACUCUGUUGGUAGAGAAGAACGUUGGUGAGAGUGGAAAGCUCAUCAAGUGACGGUAACUACCCAGAAAGGGACGGCUAACUACGUG
rnacentral:rRNA from 1 species